GUGCUCACUUCAGCAGCAUAUAUACUAAAAUUAGAAUGAUACAGAGAAGAUUAUCAUGGCCCCUGUGCAAGAAUAACAGGUAAAUGUGUGAAGUGUUCCAUAUUUUU
ensembl:snRNA U6 U6 spliceosomal RNA